GAGAUCAUACAAAAAGAAAAAUAGUAUGUAUUUUCUUUAAAAGAAAAAAAAAAGAGAAAAGAAAAACAAAAGAAAAAAAUGCACUUGCCGAGACUUAAGACUCUAACACAUAUAAAAUGCUCGGAAAAUUUGAGUAGAAAAAGAGUCAAAAGAGUGAAAUUAGCCCCCAGAGUAUACGUGAUGCACGAGAAAAAGAGAAAGAAAAAUCACACAACAUGACUACCGAGUUCAAAACCCUUUGUUAUCC
rnacentral:lncRNA from 1 species